GGUAGAGAUCUGAAGGCUUACGUUCAUUAUUCUUCGUCAGUCUUUUGAAUCUCUCCCCG
rnacentral:pre_miRNA from 1 species